rnacentral:rRNA from 1 species
UCCGAGUUGUAAUUUGUAGAGGAUGUUUUGGGUACCGCCCCGGUUUAAAUUUCUUGGAACAGAAUGUCAGAGAGGGUGAGAAUCCCGUCUUGGACCGGCGGUAGGGCCUGUGUAAAACUCCUUCGACGAGUCGAGUUGUUUGGGAAUGCAGCUCAAAAUGGGUGGUAAAUUUCAUCUAAAGCUAAAUAUUGGCCAGAGACCGAUAGCGCACAAGUAGAGUGAUCGAAAGAUGAAAAGAACUUUGAAAAGAGAGUUAAACAGUAUGUGAAAUUGUUGAAAGGGAAGCGCUUGCAACCAGACUUGAGCGCGACGGUUCCCCUAGCCUUUUGGCUAGGUUACUCCGUCGUGUCCAGGCCAACAUCGGUUCUGAGGGUCGGUCAAAGGCCCCGGGAAUGUACCUACCCACGGGUAGACUUAUAGACCGGGGUGUCAUGCGGCCUCUCGGGACCGAGGAACGCGCUUCGGCUCGGAUGUUGGCGUAAUGGUUGUCAGCGACCCGUCUUGAAACACGGACCAAGGAGUCUAACAUCUAUGCGAGUGUUUGGGUGUCAAACCCAGAACGCGGAAUGAAAGUGAACGGAGGUAGGAAGCUUCGGCUGCACUAUCGACCGAUCCUGAAGUUUACGGAUGGAUUUGAGUAAGAGCAUAGCUGUUGGGACCCGAAAGAUGGUGAACUAUGCCUGAAUAGGGUGAAGCCAGAGGAAACUCUGGUGGAGGCUCGCAGCGGUUCUGACGUGCAAAUCGAUCGUCAAAUUUGGGUAUAGGG